CCCUCCACCCCCGGACUCGACUGGCAGCGCAGCCCCCCCAGCCUCGUACUGUUGUCGGAAGCGAGAGCCUGUGCUUAAGUGACUAAUAAAGGUACCGAAAGAAUAUGGCUGCACAAAUUCCAGAAUCUGAUCAGAUAAAACAGUUUAAAGAAUUUCUUGGAACCUACAAUAAACUUACAGAAACCUGCUUUUUGGACUGUGUUAAAGACUUCACAACAAGAGAAGUAAAACCUGAAGAGACCACCUGUUCAGAACAUUGCUUACAGAAAUAUUUAAAAAUGACGCAAAGAAUAUCCAUAAGAUUUCAGGAAUAUCAUAUUCAGCAGAAUGAAGCCCUGGCAGCCAAAGCAGGACUCCUUGGCCAGCCACGAUAGAGACGUCCUGAGGGGUGGACUUUCCCUGAAAGGUUGCCAAUAGCUUUGCACUGGAAGUGAGGAUUCAUCUGAUAGAAUCCCCUGAAAGCAGUAGCCACCAUGUUAACCAUCUGUCAUGACUGGCAAAUGGAAACCACUGGAGAAACAAAAUUGCUAUUUACCAGGGAUAAUCAAAAUAGAAGGUCUUACUGUCCAAUCAAAAUGUAAGAUGCAACAUUUGUUGAGGCCUUAUGAUUCAGGAGCUUAGUCACUUGAUUAGAAAAAUAAACCAUUAUUUCUUCAAUAGUGACUAUUAAUUUUAAAGCAAAAUCAUGAAUGAGAUAGAAACAAUUUUUAUUUCUAAAAGUUAAAUAAAUGGAAAUAUCA